GAUGAACGCUGGCGGCGUACCUAAUACAUGCAAGUCGAGCGAACAGACGAGGAGCUUGCUCCUCUGACGUUAGCGGCGGACGGGUGAGUAACACGUGGAUAACCUACCUAUAAGACUGGGAUAACUUCGGGAAACCGGAGCUAAUACCGGAUAAUAUAUUGAACCGCAUGGUUCAAUAGUGAAAGACGGUUUUGCUGUCACUUAUAGAUGGAUCCGCGCCGCAUUAGCUAGUUGGUAAGGUAACGGCUUACCAAGGCGACGAUGCGUAGCCGACCUGAGAGGGUGAUCGGCCACACUGGAACUGAGACACGGUCCAGGCUCCUACGGGAGGCAGCAGUAGGGAAUCUUCCGCAAUGGGCGAAAGCCUGACGGAGCAACGCCGUGUGAGUGAUGAAGGUCUUCGGAUCGUAAAACUCUGUUAUUAGGGAAGAACAAAUGUGUAAGUAACUAUGCACGUCUUGACGGUACCUAAUCAGAAAGCCACGGCUAACUACGUG
rnacentral:rRNA from 1 species